rnacentral:rRNA from 1 species
UACGUAGGGGGCGAGCGUUGUCCGGAUUCAUUGGGCGUAAAGCGCGCGUAGGCGGCUUGGCAAGUCGGCCGUGAAAUCUCCGGGCUCAACUCGGAGGGGUCGGGCGAGACUGCCAGGCUCGAGGUGGGCAGAGGGCAGUGGAAUUCCGGGUGUAGUGGUGGAAUGCGUAGAGAUCCGGAGGAACACCAGUGGCGAAGGCGGCUGCCUGGGCCUGGCCUGACGCUGAGGCGCGAAAGCGUGGGGAGCAAACAGG